CUACACAUGCAGUCGAACGCGCAGCAUUCUGUAGCAAUACAGGGUGUGGGCGCGCUGGCGAACGGGUGCGUAACACGUGGAUAACCUUCCUUCAGGUGGGGAAUAACCCAGUGAAAAUUGGGCUAAUACCGCAUAACAUGACGAUGCCACAUGGUGUUGUCUUCAAAGGCGCAAGUCGCCAGAAGAGGGAUCCGCGGCCGAUUAGCUAGUUGGCGAGGUAAUGGCUCACCAAGGCAAUGAUCGGUAGCCGGACUGAGAGGUUGGCCGGCCACACUGGAACUGAGACACGGUCCAGACUCCUACGGGAGGCAGCAGUGGGGAAUCUUGCACAAUGGACGAAAGUCUGAUGCAGCAACGCCGCGUGGGGGAUGAAGCUUUUCGGAGUGUAAACCCCUUUCGACCCGGAAGAAAGCCCGCAAGGGUUUGACGGUACGGGUAUAAGAAGCCCCGGCUAACUACGUGCCAGCAGCCGCGGUAAAACGUAGGGGGCCAGCGUUGCUCGGAAUUACUGGGCGUAAAGGGUCCGUAGGCGGUGUGGCAAGUCGGUAAUGAAAUCUCUGGGCUUAACCCAGAGGCUGCUGCCGAAACUGCCGUGCUAGAGUGUGAGAGAGGCGAGUGGAAUUACGGGUGUAGCGGUGAAAUGCGUAGAUAUCCGUAGGAACAUCCGAGGCGAAGGCGGCUCGCUGGAUCACAACUGACGCUGAGGGACGAAAGCUAGGGGAGCAAACAGGAUUAGAUACCCUGGUAGUCCUAGCCCUAAACCAUCAGACUUGGGGUGUGCCCUGUACGGGGCACGUCCCGUAGCUAACGCGUUAAGUCCUGCGCCUGGGGAGUACGGUCGCAAGGCU
rnacentral:rRNA from 1 species